UGUAAGCGUAUACCAAAGUUGUUGCAGUUAAAACGCUCGUAGUCGGAAUUUGGCAGUUCCGGAUGUGUGCACGUCGUGUGCGCACUUCGCGGGGAUUGCUUUUGUGGUCUUGCGUAGGAUGAGGCACUUUUAUUAGUGAACGUCCUCACGCACCCACUUUUUACUGUGAGAAAAUCAGAGUGCUCAAAGCAGGCAUUUGCCGUGAAUGUAUUAGCAUGGAAUAAUAGAAUAGGACUUGGUUCUAUUUUGUUGGUUUGUUGGGACUGAGUAAUGAUUAAGAGGGACAGUUGGGGGCAUUUGUAUUUCGGUGCUAGAGGUGAAAUUCUUAGAUUACCGAAAGACAAACUGCUGCGAAAGCGUCUGCCAAGGAUGUUUUCAUUGA
rnacentral:rRNA from 1 species